CCCAGACUCCUACGGGAGGCAGCAGUGGGGAAUAUUGCACAAUGGGGGAAACCCUGAUGCAGCAACGCCGCGUGGGUGAGGAAGUAUUUCGGUAUGUAAAGCUCUAUCAGCAGGGAAUAGAAAAGAAGGUACCUGAAAAAGAAGCCCCGGCUAACUACGUGCCAGCAGCCGCGGUAAUACGUAGGGGGCAAGCGUUAUCCGGAUUUACUGGGUGUAAAGGGAGCGUAGACGGCUGUGCAAGUCAGAAGUGAAAGCCCGGGGCUCAACCGCGGGACUGCUUUUGAAACUGUGUAGCUGGAGUGCAGGAGAGGUAAGUGGAAUUCCUAGUGUAGCGGUGAAAUGCGUAGAUAUUAGGAGGAACACCGGUGGCGAAGGCGGCUUACUGGACUGUAACUGACGUUGAGGCUCGAAAGCGUGGGGAGCAAACAGGAUUAGAUACCCGCGUACA
rnacentral:rRNA from 1 species